ensembl:misc_RNA Metazoa_SRP Metazoan signal recognition particle RNA
GCCAGGUGUGGUGGUUCAUGCCUGUAGUCCCAGCUACUCAGGAGGCUGAGGCAGGAGGAUCGCUUGAGCCCAGGAAUUUGAGGCUGCAGUGAGCCAUGAUCACACCAUUGCACCCCAGCCUGGGCAACAGAGUGAGAUGCUGUCUCUU